UCCAUUUGAGUGUGGGUGCCGAACCAUUCAAGAUCAAAACACAAAAAUUUACUCUUUGUUUUUCUCUCAAAAUUUUGUUAACGAAAAUCGUCGGGGAUAUUGCGUAGAACGUUAAUCUCUAUUUGCAUGUUCGUUUGAGAUCCAGCGAGUUUUGUCGCGGAAACCGGCGAGCAAAGGUUUUGAAUAUUCGACGGGUGAUAUUUUUAUAUUUGGAAUAAGCGAGUACUGCGAGUAGUUUGACGUGUGGAUUUCCAAUUUCUUGUUCCGGAAAUCCCUGGCUUGAAUAAAGUGACAAUGACUUUCCUUUAUGUGUCUAGAGUUGCAGUAGCUAGAAUAAUGAACGGUGAUACCGUAGUAGUCGUUGGACUUAUUUAUGCUUUAUAUUUUAUUAUAACGCUUAAACUCUGAUAUUAUGUAAUGUGGGAAUGCUGUGCGAAAGUCCGAGCGACUGCACUUGUAUAAAAUGCGAUGAACGCAUCUGCAU